GAUGAACGCUGGCGGCGUGCCUAAUACAUGCCAGUCGAGCGAACAGACGAGGAGCUUGCUCCUCUGACGUUAGCGGCGGACGGGUGAGUAACACGUGGAUAACCUACCUAUAAGACUGGGAUAACUUCGGGAAACCGGAGCUAAUACCGGAUAAUAUAUUGAACCGCAUGGUUCAAUAGUGAAAGACGGUUUUGCUGUCACUUAUAGAUGGAUCCGCGCCGCAUUAGCUAGUUGGUAAGGUAACGGCUUACCAAGGCAACGAUGCGUAGCCGACCUGAGAGGGUGAUCGGCCACACUGGAACUGAGACACGGUCCAGACUCCUACGGGAGGCAGCAGUAGGGAAUCUUCCGCAAUGGGCGAAAGCCUGACGGAGCAACGCCGCGUGAGCGAUGAAGGUCUUCGGAUCGUAAAACUCUGUUAUUAGGGAAGAACAAAUGUGUAAGUAACUAUGCACGUCUUGACGGUACCUAAUCAGAAAGCCACGGCUAACUACGUG
rnacentral:rRNA from 1 species